AGUGAACGCUGGCGGUAGGCCUAACACAUGCAAGUCGAACGGCAGCACAGUAAGAGCUUGCUCUUACGGGUGGCGAGUGGCGGACGGGUGAGGAAUACAUCGGAAUCUACUUUUUCGUGGGGGAUAACGUAGGGAAACUUACGCUAAUACCGCAUACGACCUACGGGUGAAAGCAGGGGAUCUUCGGACCUUGCGCGAUUGAAUGAGCCGAUGUCGGAUUAGCUAGUUGGCGGGGUAAAGGCCCACCAAGGCGACGAUCCGUAGCUGGUCUGAGAGGAUGAUCAGCCACACUGGAACUGAGACACGGUCCAGACUCCUACGGGAGGCAGCAGUGGGGAAUAUUGGACAAUGGGCGCAAGCCUGAUCCAGCCAUACCGCGUGGGUGAAGAAGGCCUUCGGGUUGUAAAGCCCUUUUGUUGGGAAAGAAAAGCAGCAGGUUAAUACCCCGCUGUUCUGACGGUACCCAAGGAAUAAGCACCGGCUAGCUUCGUG
rnacentral:rRNA from 1 species